UCUUCUCCUCAGGUUGGAGUAUGAUACUGUGCGAGUGUUAUUACAGUUCAGAGCUGAUCAUCUGAAGCAGUACAAGGUCUGUCACAAAAAGAGACCAGCUCUGAGCAACGUACAUGGAGUAUUUGGGAGAGUGAACUCUGACAACCGUAAGGGUGUGGAAAAAACAGCGUGCACCUCAAACUCAACCUCAAGAUCAACGACAUUAUUGAAAACUCAUUCCCUUCCAGGACGAAAACAA